rnacentral:rRNA from 1 species
AGAGCGAACGCUGGCGGCAGGCUUAACACAUGCAAGUCGAGCGGGCGUAGCAAUACGUCAGCGGCAGACGGGUGAGUAACGCGUGGGAACGUACCUUUUGGCUCGGAACAACACAGGGAAACUUGUGCUAAUACCGGAUAAGCCCUUACGGGGAAAGAUUUAUCGCCAAAAGAUCGGCCCGCGUCUGAUUAGCUAGUUGGUGAGGUAACGGCUCACCAAGGCGACGAUCAGUAGCUGGUCUGAGAGGAUGAUCAGCCACAUUGGGACUGAGACACGGCCCAAACUCCUACGGGAGGCAGCAGUGGGGAAUCUUGCGCAAUGGCCGGAAGGCUGACGCAGCGACGCCGCGUGUGGGAGGACGCCCUUCGGGGUGUAAACCACUGUUGCCCGGGACGAAAUCUCCUUUGGGGAGACUGACGGUACCGGGUGAGGAAGCACCGGCUAACUCCGUGCCAGCAGCCGC